CCGUCAAUCACGAUUAUUCCCGGAUGCCCGGAUUGGCCCGGAAAUGGCUAAUUAGGGUUGUUGUCGUGAAGUAGCUUUAGCACUUUGUUUACUAUUCUAUCUAUAUUGUUAGUGUUAUGUAAAGCUGGACUUCUAUUAAUUCGGGUAGUUCUUAUUUUCAAAAUUGCUUAUUCGCAACGGUGCCUAAAAUUCGGAUAGUGGAAAUUUGCAAGGGCAAAAAUGGCAACAACUGAACAAUUUUCACUAAGAUGGAACAACUUUCACUACAAUCUAAAGUCAGGAUUUCAUGGCCUUUUACAGCAGGCUGAGAUGGUUGAUGUCACUUUGGCCGUUGAUGGUCACUUUUUACAAGCACACAAAGUUGUCCUUUCAAUAUGUAGUCCGUAUUUCAAAGAAAUGUUUAUGAAAAAUCCAUGCAAGCAUCCUAUUGUGAUAUUAAAAGAUGUUGGACAUGAUAACAUGAAGUAUAUACUACAAUUUAUGUAUAUGGGAGAAGUCAGUAUUCUAAAAGACAAUUUACCGUCGUUUUUGAGAACCGCCGAAGUGCUGCAAGUUAAGGGCUUGACGGGCGAGGAUUCAACUGAAGAUUCGGGUUCACAAAAAGAGCAGAAAGCAAGCAGUGAAAUUGACGAUGUCAACGAAAUGUACAAUCAAUUGAUUGAAACAACUACGGAUACCGAUAUUCCUCAAUUAUAUUUACAAAAAACCCCGCCACCGCCUCAGACUUCCCCACUACCAUUAAACUUUCCUAAGAGGCAUGCCAAGUCUAUCUCGCCAAAUCGCUCCAAACGAUCAAAAUGUUCAGAGUCGUAUUCUAGCGAAUAUAGUGCCUCAAAGCCAGUAACAAAUGUCGAUUGUGAUACACCUAAAUCUAACACUGAAUACAAGAGCUGUGAUCUAACUACGACUCAAAGAGACAUAAAACCAGUCAUUGACGACAGCGAAGAAGCCAAAGAUUAUUCCAAAAACAGUGCGAAUAUAUGGAAAGGAAAUUUAUUGUAUGCAUCUGGUGCAGCACAGGAAGCUGGUGCGUCAAAUUGCUCAGAUCAAAACACUGCAGAUCAAGCAAGUUGAAGACUAGGAUAACCCAAUUAAUGGCAUGUGAAAUUUUUUAUGCUGAUUUGUUAUUAAAUCACGCCUAUAAAUGUGUACCAGCAAGGGAGAAUCUCGAACAACCAACGCAUUCAAACAUGUAUAUCAAUGUGAAAAAUGCAUGAAAAAGUUUACGAGGCGAGAUCAUCUUCGAACUCAUGAGAAAAACAUACACGGAUCGGAUGCUGGGCCUUUUAAAUGUUCGAUUUGUGAGCAACUUUACAAGAAUAUGGAAAGUCUUCGAAAGCACAUAUCCAAAUUUCAUUUCACAAAUAUGAAUGAUUCGUCAUAUAAAUUUGAAGUUAAAGCUUGAUUUUUAAUGAAUUAUUUGCUUUAACAUCGUUGCACGUCGUCGUAUUUUAUGAAUCUUUGGACUAUGUUACUUUGAAGUGAAAGUAAGAUACUAAAUCUCUGUUAAAGUAAGAUUACUUUAACAGAUAUUUAGACGAUUUUCUACUAUUUGACAUUUAAUGAUGAUAAUUUAGUAUUUUUUUCAUUUGAGUAUUCCUGAUUGAUGUGCGUAUUAAGAAGCAAGAUACUUUUCAAUUGAGUUAAAGUAUCCAAAAAUAAAAUAAAAUUACACAUAAUCAGACUUCAAAAGAAUUCAGCCUGUGUUAUUUAGGCAAAACUGUUUUUUCACGAGCCAUUUAGUGUCUUACUCUUUGCCUUAAUACUAAUUACGUAUUAUUAUGUACUCGAAUUUAAUAUUUUUUAUUAUUAUAUUAUAUUUAAAGCGAAAUAAUUAUUGUCUAUUGAUCUAGAACGAUUUUAAGAUCGUAAAAUCAGCGCCAAAUAUAGUUAGCUAGAGUGUGCCAUUUUUAAUAUCAAAACUAGUCAGUAAUCUAAGCGUCCGGUUUGAUACAAGUUUGUAUUAUUAUAUUUAUCUUAUUGCACAAUUCAAUUCCAAUUUGCCGAUUCGAUCAGCAGCUUCAAAGCAUUUUGGAAGAAUCACAUACACUUUUUUAUUUUGUUAUUUCUUGUUAUAUGAGACACUUACAUCAUGGUCUGGUCGUAGAAUCAACUUAUGAUUUGAUUUAAUUUAGAUUAAAUAAAAAUCGAAACAUUAGAUUAAUAAGAUUGUCUAUUAAUUUCAAUACAAUCAACUUAUAUGAUACACAUCAUUUGUGUUUCGAUGCAAAAAUAUGUUAAUGUUAAUUAUUUGUUUGAAUUACUUUUAAGAACUGUUAUUACUUUGUCAUUAUCAAUAAAAUUGUGAAACUGAUGUGCCUUAAUACAAAGAUAUAACAGUAA
rnacentral:misc_RNA from 1 species